rfam:Ruegeria atlantica strain CECT 4293 genome assembly, contig: 0022
GGAUCGGGAGGCUGCCAUUCGGGACGGUGGCCACGAAUUGAUCCGGACGUGUCGUCUCUAAUGUGCAAGGCACCGGGGCCCGACGGUGUCUUUG